UUUCGCUGACGAGUGGCGGACGGGUGAGUAAUGUCUGGGAAACUGCCUGAUGGAGGGGGAUAACUACUGGAAACGGUAGCUAAUACCGCAUAACGUCGCAAGACCAAAGAGGGGGACCUUCGGGCCUCUUGCCAUCGGAUGUGCCCAGAUGGGAUUAGCUUGUUGGUGGGGUAACGGCUCACCAAGGCGACGAUCCCUAGCUGGUCUGAGAGGAUGACCAGCCACACUGGAACUGAGACACGGUCCAGACUCCUACGGGAGGCAGCAGUGGGGAAUAUUGCACAAUGGGCGCAAGCCUGAUGCAGCCAUGCCGCGUGUAUGAAGAAGGCCUUCGGGUUGUAAAGUACUUUCAGCGGGGAGGAAGGGAGUAAAGUUAAUACCUUUGCUCAUUGACGUUACCCGCAGAAGAAGCACCGGGCUAACUCCGUGCCAGCAGCCGCGGUAAUACGGAGGGUGCAAGCGUUAAUCGGAAUUACUGGGCGUAAAGCGCACGCAGGCGGUUUGUUAAGUCAGAUGUGAAAUCCCCGGGCUCAACCUGGGAACUGCAUCUGAUACUGGCAAGCUUGAGUCUCGUAGAGGGGGGUAGAAUUCCAGGUGUAGCGGUGAAAUGCGUAGAGAUCAGGAGGGUUGCCGGUGGCGCGGGCGGCCCCCUGGACGAAGACUGACGCUCAGGUGAGAAAGCGUGGGGGAGCAAACCAGGAUUAGAUACCCUGGGUAGUCCCCGCCGUAAACGAUGUCGACUUGGAGGUUGUGCCCUUGAGGCGUGGCUUCCGGAGCUAACGCGUUAAGUCGACCGCCUGGGGAGUACGGCCGCAAGGUUAAAACUCAAAUGAAUUGACGGGGGCCCGCACAAGCGGUGGAGCAUGUGGUUUAAUUCGAUGCAACGCGAAGAACCUUACCUGGUCUUGACAUCCACGGAAGUUUUCAGAGAUGAGAAUGUGCCUUCGGGAACCGUGAGACAGGUGCUGCAUGGCUGUCGUCAGCUCGUGUUGUGAAAUGUUGGGUUAAGUCCCGCAACGAGCGCAACCCUUAUCCUUUGUUGCCAGCGGUCCGGCCGGGAACUCAAAGGAGACUGCCAGUGAUAAACUGGAGGAAGGUGGGGAUGACGUCAAGUCAUCAUGGCCCUUACGACCAGGGCUACACACGUGCUACAAUGGCGCAUACAAAGAGAAGCGACCUCGCGAGAGCAAGCGGACCUCAUAAAGUGCGUCGUAGUCCGGAUUGGAGUCUGCAACUCGACUCCAUGAAGUCGGAAUCGCUAGUAAUCGUGGAUCAGAAUGCCACGGUGAAUACGUUCCCGGGCCUUGCACUCACCGCCCGUCA
rnacentral:rRNA from 1 species